UUUUGUAAUGUACUAUUGAUUAUGCUGGGUCUUGGCACUGGGAGAAUUCACAGGAGUUAUAUAAUUACCCGUGAGUUUCCUGAUGCCUCAGCUCAGUGUAGUCGAAACCAUCGGAAGAAAGA
rnacentral:pre_miRNA from 12 species